UACGUAGGGUGCGAGCGUUAAUCGGAAUUACUGGGCGUAAAGCGUGCGCAGGCGGUUUUGCAAGACAGAUGUGAAAUCCCCGGGCUUAACCUGGGAACUGCAUUUGUGACUGCAAGGCUAGAGUGUGUCAGAGGGAGGUGGAAUUCCGCGUGUAGCAGUGAAAUGCGUAGAGAUGCGGAGGAACACCGACGGCGAAGGCAGCCUCCUGGGAUAACACUGACGCUCAUGCACGAAAGGCGUGGGGAGCAAACAGG
rnacentral:rRNA from 1 species